UACGAGGGGUGCAAGCGUUGCUCGGAAUUAUUGGGCGUAAAGGGUAGGUAGGUGGUCUCGUUUGUCUGGGGUGAAAGCCUUGAGCUUAACUCAAGAAGUGCCCUAGAAACGGCGAGACUAGAGUCCUGGAGAGGGUCGUGGAAUUCCCGGUGUAGCGGUGAAAUGCGCAGAUAUCGGGAAGAACACCCGUGGCUAAGGCGGCUCUCUAGUACGGUACUGACGCUGAGACGCGAAAGCGUGGGGAGCGAACAGG
rnacentral:rRNA from 1 species